UUCACUUAUCCGAUUCUGAAACAUUUGCAUAUAUCGCGCCUUCUUGGUUAACUUCCACAAUGCCCACUUGUCUUCUGAGCGUUGCCAAUUUAGCAAUUUUGUCGCUAUAUUAAGCGAGUUUUCAGACCCCUCCAGCGACUUUAUUGGUGAAAGAUUCUAGCGACAAAAAUUCUGAUUUUCUUUUUCAGGCUGCCUUUGGGGUUGACACAGAGGGUGUCUAUGAUUUUGAUAGCAUUUAGAGACUUUUCACACUCAAUUAUGCCGCAAACAACAGUGGGUGACGGUGCAGGCUACUUGUGUAACAUUAUUCACAUCAACGACGCACUCACAUGCCGCGUUCACGUACUAGUUUGAAACGAGGAAACUGACAUUUCCUGGUUGCACGCGUGUAUAACUUCAACCUAUUAGCAAAUCGGACCUUUCCGAGUUUCUUAGUUCCAACUAGGACUUGAAUGCGGCAAAUAAUCAGAGAGGCACAACGUGCGGCGGAAGAGGGCGAAAACGCGACGUGGGGACCGCAGUUGUGCCGCAUCAAGCCAAAUUCGUGAUGUGACGCCGUCGCGGAAACGGUAAAACGUAAUCUAGCGUCUUCUAGCGACAAAAUCAAGGAGCCAAUAGCUGUAAUCACUGAAAACCAGUCGGCAACACUGCACGGUGUCAACGUGCUUUUCAUGGUAGGAUCGCGUAGUAAACAGAGGCAGAGGUCGGAGUGGAGCUCAUUACUACUGAAGACAUCUAUGCACAUUUCACAAGGAAUCGCUGUUCGUUGAAUGAAGCUUUACCGACGAGAAAAUAAUAUGCAGACGUCUAGAUGAUUAUGCUGCUGGUUUGCAAAUCUAGGACAACGUGAUCUCGAGGAACAAUAAAUCAGCUAAUUUUUAUCCAUGGUGUUUGCAAGUUGUAAAGAGAUGGAUGGUAUCGGGAACACAAUGCAGAAGAAGGCUGCGGAGCUCGAGCGCAUGGCCGAGGUUCUCGUCACCGGAGAGCAGUUGAGG